rfam:Brassica napus, WGS project CCCW01000000 data, contig: 3158
CAGCUGUGAUGAAAAAAACCGUGUGCCAGAGAUUUUUUAUCGCUGACGGCUAAACACAACCCUCUAAGAAGUUCUGAGCUU